rnacentral:rRNA from 1 species
AUUGAACGCUGGCGGCAGGCCUAACACAUGCAAGUCGAACGAGUGGCGGACGGGUGAGUAAUGUCUGGGAAACUGCCUGAUGGAGGGGGAUAACUACUGGAAACGGUAGCUAAUACCGCAUACCAUCGGAUGUGCCCAGAUGGGAUUAGCUAGUAGGUGAGGUAAAGGCUCACCUAGGCGACGAUCCCUAGCUGGUCUGAGAGGAUGACCAGCACCACUGGAACUGAGACACGGCCCAGACUCCUCCGGGAGGCAGCAGUGGGGAAUUUUGCACAAUGGGCUCAAGCCUGAUGCAGCCAGGCCGCGUGUAUGAAGAAGGCCUUCGGGUUGUAAAGUACUUUCAGCGGGGAGACGUUACCGGCAGAAGAAGCACCGGCUAACUCCGUGCCAGAAGCCGCGGUAAUAC